rnacentral:tRNA from 1 species
GAGAGAGGUCCGACGGCCGUAGAAACUGCUAAUCUCCUACCCCCGGGGUUUGACCCCCCGGCUCUCUCG